ACGGCUACCUUGUUACGACUUCACCCCAAUCGCUGACCCUACCUUAGGACGCUUCCUCCCUUGCGGGUUAGAUCACGUACGUUGGGUAUUGCCAACUCUCAUGGUGUGACGGGCGGUGUGUACAAGGCCCGGGAACGUAUUCACCGCGACAUGCUGAUUCGCGAUUACUAGCAACUCCAGCUUCAUGUAGGCGAGUUUCAGCCUACAAUCCGAACUGAGACAAGUUUUUGAGUUUUGCUCCACCUCACGGUCUUGCUUCUCUUUGUACUUGCCAUUGUAGCACGUGUGUAGCCCUAGACAUAAGGGGCAUGAUGAUUUGACGUCAUCCCCACCUUCCUCCCGGUUAACCCAGGCAGUCUCGCUAGAGUGCUCAACUAAAUGGUAGCAACUAACAAUAAGGGUUGCGCUCGUUGCGGGACUUAACCCAACAUCUCACGACACGAGCUGACGACAACCAUGCACCACCUGUCUUCCUGUCCCCGAAGGAACUUCCCCGAUUAACGGUAAUGCAGGAGAUGUCAAGU
rnacentral:rRNA from 1 species